AGUGACUUCUGCUUCGGCAGUUGGCGCACUUCUUAGAGGGACUGUUGGCGUCUAGCCAAUGGAAGUAUGAGGCAAUAACAGGUCUGUGAUGCCCUUAGAUGUUCUGGGCCGCACGCGCGCUACACUGAUACGUUCAACAAGUUCCUUGGUCGAAAGGUCCGGGUAAUCUUUGAAACCGUAUCGUGAUGGGGAUAGAACAUUGCAAUUAUUGUUCUUCAACGAGGAAUGCCUAGUAAGCGUGAGUCAUCAUCUCGCGUUGAUUACGUCCCUGCCCUUUGUACACACCGCCCGUCGCUCCUACCGAUUGAAUGUGCUGGUGAAGAUUUCGGACUGGCUGUUCAGUUAGGUUUCCUAACUUUACAGCUGGGAAGUUAUUUAAACCCUCCCAUUUAGAGGAAGGAGAAGUCGUAACAAGGUUUCCGUAGGUGAACCUGCGGAAGGAUCAUUGAAUCCAUCCACAUCCACUCGCGAACUAUAUAGUACCCCUCACGCGGACCUCAAGGAAAACGUGAGCGGCCGUCUUUCGGGUCGGUCGGGCCGUCGUGUGGCUUCGCCAACGGCGGUCGGCAACCCCUUUUACGCAACCAACCAAAAUGUCUGUCUGAAGCAUGCUCAAGCCGGCCCAGCCGCUUGAAUAAACAAAGACAAC
rnacentral:rRNA from 1 species